GCUCAGGAUGAAACGCUGGCGGGCGUGCCUAAUACAUGCAAGUCGAGCGAACAGACAGAAGAGCUUGCUCCUCUGACGUUAGCGGCGGACGGGUGAGUAACACGUGGAUAACCUACCUAUAAGACUGGGAUAACUUCGGGAAACCGGAGCUAAUACCGGAUAAUAUAUUGAACCGCAUGGUUCAAUAGUGAAAGACGGUUUUGCUGUCACUUAUAGAUGGAUCCGCGCCGCAUUAGCUAGUUGGUAAGGUAACGGCUUACCAAGGCAACGAUGCGUAGCCGACCUGAGAGGGUGAUCGGCCACACUGGAACUGAGACACGGUCCAGACUCCUACGGGAGGCAGCAGUAGGGAAUCUUUCGCAAUGGGCGAAAGCCUGACGGAGCAACGCCGCGUGAGUGAUGAAGGUCUUCGGAUCGUAAAACUCUGUUAUUAGGGAAGAACAAAUGUGUAAGUAACUAUGCACGUCUUGACGGUACCUAAUCAGAAAGCCACGGCUAACUACGUGCCAGCAGCCGCGGUAAUACGUAGGUGGCAAGCGUUAUCCGGAAUUAUUGGGCGUAAAGCGCGCGUAGGCGGUUUUUUAAGUCUGAUGUGAAAGCCCACGGCUCAACCGUGGAGGGUCAUUGGAAACUGGAAAACUUGAGUGCAGAAGAGGAAAGUGGAAUUCCAUGUGUAGCGGUGAAAUGCGCAGAGAUAUGGAGGAACACCAGUGGCGAAGGCGACUUUCUGGUCUGUAACUGACGCUGAUGUGCGAAAGCGUGGGGAUCAAACAGGAUUAGAUACCCUGGUAGUCCACGCCGUAAACGAUGAGUGCUAAGUGUUAGGGGGUUUCCGCCCCUUAGUGCUGCAGCUAACGCAUUAAGCACUCCGCCUGGGGAGUACGACCGCACACGGUUGAACU
rnacentral:rRNA from 1 species